rnacentral:rRNA from 1 species
GACGAACGCUGGCGGCGUGCCUAAUACAUGCAAGUAGAACGCAGUUGCGAACGGGUGAGUAACGCGUAGGUAACUGCCUCAUAGCGGGGGAUACCUAUUGGAAACGCUAGUUAAUACCGCACACUGUGAGAUGGACCUGCGUUGUAUUAGGUAGUUGGUGUGGUAAAGGCUCACCAAGGCGGCGAUACAUAGCCGGCCUGAGCGGGUGGUCGGGCACACUGGGACUGAGAAACGGGCCAGACUCCUUCGGGGAGCAGCCGUAGGGAAUCUUCGGCAAUUGGCGGAAGUCUGGCCGAGGAACGCCGGGGGGGUGGAGAAGGUUUUCGGAUCGGAAAGCUCUGUUGUUAGAGAAGCGGUAACUAACCAGAAAGGGACGGCUAACUACGUGCCAGCAGCCGCGGUAAUAC